AACGUAGGCGGCAGGCCAACAUUGCAAUCCGAGCGUCAUUCGUGGGAGCGGCGGACGGUUAGUAACGCUGGGAACUGCCCAGUCAAGGAUAGCCCUGGAAACGUGAGUAAUACCUAUACGCCUUCGGGGGAAAGAUUAUCGGAUUGGUCGGCCCGCGUUAGAUAGUAGUUGGUGGGGUAAUGGCCUACCAAGUCUACGAUCUAUAGCUGGUUUUAGAGGAUGAUCAGCAACGCUGGGACUGAGACACGGCCCAGACUCCUACGGGAGGCAGCAGUGGGGAAUCUUGGACAAUGGGGGCAACCCUGUCCAGCCAUGCCGCGUGAGUGAUGAAGGCCUUAGGGUCGUAAAGCUCUUUCGCCAGGGAUGAUAAUGACAGUACCUGGUAAAGAAACCCCGGCUAACUCCGUGCCAGCAGCCGCGGUAAUACGGAGGGGGUUAGCGUUGUUCGGAAUUACUGGGCGUAAAGCGCGCGUAGGCGGAUUGGAAAGUUGGGGGUGAAAUCCCGGGGCUCAACCCCGGAACUGCCUCCAAAACUAUCAGUCUAGAGUUCGAGAGAGGUGAGUGGAAUUCCGAGUGUAGAGGUGAAAUUCGUAGAUAUUCGGAGGAACACCAGUGGCGAAGGCGGCUCACUGGCUCGAUACUGACGCUGAGGUGCGAAAGUGUGGGGAGCAAACAGGAUUAGAUACCCUGGUAGUCCACACCGUAAACGAUGAAUGCCAGUCGUCGGCAAGCAUGCUUGUCGGUGACACACCUAACGGAUUAAGCAUUCCGCCUGGGGAGUACGUCGCAAGAUUAAAACUCAAU
rnacentral:rRNA from 1 species